UACGUAGGGUGCGAGCGUUGUCCGGAAUUAUUGGGCGUAAAGAGCUCGUAGGCGGUGUGUCGCGUCGGCCGUGAAAACCUGUGGCUUAACCAUGGGCUUGCGGUCGAUACGGGCAUCACUGGAGUUCGGCAGGGGAGACUGGAAUUCCUGGUGUAGCGGUGAAAUGCGCAGAUAUCAGGAGGAACACCGGUGGCGAAGGCGGGUCUCUGGGCCGAUACUGACGC
rnacentral:rRNA from 1 species